rnacentral:lncRNA from 1 species
AUGUGCCGCCUGGUACAGAGGCACCACUGCCUCCAAGCUUUCUGGCCUGAACCCUGGAGUGCUAAUUUCCUCCAAAUAGUACAGUUUCUGGGUAAGGAAAAACAGAAACGCGUGAACCUACAAGAUAAAGGAUGGGUUGCUGCUGCCUUCCUUCUGAGCAGGUACUACCUGACAAGCACGCCUUUACUGUUCGUAGAGGAGACCGCGAUUCUGCGACCUGCACCAUUUCUGCCAGGUCUCGCAGCGCCGCGCAUCAGUUCCACCGGGCCACCUCGCUCCCCAGCCCUGGGAGCUCCUUGGCGGACCCCGAGACGUCCCCGCAGCCCCACACGGCACCCCGCGACUGUCGGCACAGGCGCCGAAGGCAGCGCGGGCCUCGCUCGAAGGAACGCACUGCAACCCCUCAAGGGAUUCUGCGCUUACCUUUCGGAGCCUCGCAUCGAGCGUGGGCGCGCCUCGCCUCCAGCUCCACCUCAGGGCUGCGCAGCCCCGCCGCGCCAUCCCCGCGAUCCACCACACACUCACCAGGGCGUGGAGCUUUCGCCAUCUGGGUGCUACCCGCUCCGGGCCGAGCCGGGGCCGGCCGCGUCAGCUGCUCGCCCGCGAGGCCCUCCAGGCACGCCAGCACCCCGCGCCCCACCGCCCCAUCUGCUCGCGGCGAACGCUCCGCACCGCCCCAUCACGCCGCGCAGCCCCCGCCGUUUAAGGCACACAGAGCGGCUCCCACGCACCAUGGGGCCGAGCCCAGGCGGCGCGGGCCGCGGCUGCUCGGAAUCGGCGCGGAGACGGCCGUGCGCAAGGAUCGAUCACGCCAGCUCGCCCGGAGGGGCCUCCCCCGGAGCCGGGCCGCCGCUGGAGACGGGGGGAGGCCUCGCGCUUCUGGCAGCGCCCAUGUUCGCAGAGGAAGCCCGCGAGGCGCGCGGCCCACCCGCCCGUCCCGCCCGGUGUCCGGAGCGCGGUUCCCGGCCUUCGCGGCGCACCUCAGAGAAGGGAGAAGCGGCGGGAGCCGUUCCGCGCCGCCCUGCGCCCAACGUCCCGCUGCGCAGCGCCGGGGGCUCGCCCUGCACGCGGCUCCUCAGUGCUGCAGCGCUGCCUGCGCAGCUCCUGUCAGCAGCAUCUCUUCGCCUGUUGCCCAGCCCUGCACGGCUGAACUGCUGCAAGGCACUGCCUUGCAAGUCAGCGCCGUGCUGGCAAGCUGAACUAGGGAACAUUCAGGGCUUGUUUCUUCUCCCUUCGCGACCCUCGCUAGAGGCAUUUCUCUAA